UACAGAGGUGGCAAGCGUUGUUCGGAAUUACUGGGCGUAAAGGGCGCGUAGGCGGCCAUCUAAGUCAGACGUGAAAUCCCCCGGCUUAACCUGGGAACUGCGUCUGAUACUGGAAGGCUUGAGUAUGGGAGAGGGAUGUAGAAUUCCAGGUGUAGCGGUGAAAUGCGUAGAUAUCUGGAGGAACACCGGUGGCGAAGGCGGCAUCCUGGACCGAGAUUGACGCUGAGACGCGAAAGCGUGGGGAGCAAACAGG
rnacentral:rRNA from 1 species